rnacentral:rRNA from 1 species
CAGCAGCAGCCACGGUAAUACAGAGGGUGCAAGUGUUAAUCGGAAUUACUGGGCGUAAAGCGCGCGUAGGUGGUUUGUUAAGUUGGAUGUGAAAUCCCCGGGCUCAACCUGGGAACUGCAUUCAAAACUGACUGACUAGAGUAUGGUAGAGGGUGGUGGAAUUUCCUGUGUAGCGGUGAAAUGCGUAGAUAUAGGAAGGAACACCAGUGGCGAAGGCGACCACCUGGACUAAUACUGACACUGAGGUGCGAAAGCGUGGGGAGCAAACAGGAUUAGAUACCCCUGUAGUCCCUGUCUCUUAUAA